rnacentral:rRNA from 1 species
UACGGGGGGGGCAAGCGUUGUUCGGAAUUACUGGGCGUAAAGGGCGCGUAGGCGGUUCGUUAAGUCCUGUGUGAAAUCCCCCGGCUCAACUGGGGAACUGCACAGGAAACUAGCGGGCUUGAGUUCGGGAGAGGGAAGCGGAAUUCCGGGUGUAGCGGUGAAAUGCGUAGAUAUCCGGAGGAACACCGGUGGCGAAGGCGGCUUCCUGGGCCGACACUGACGCUGAGGCGCGAAAGCUAGGGGAGCAAACGGG